UUUCGCAAUGCCCGAAAGGGUGACGAAGCGACGCCGCGUGCGGGAGGAAGGCCUUCGGGUUGUAAACCGCUGUCGGGAGUUAAGAAAUGCAAGGAUGUUAAUAGCGUUCUUGCUUGACUAAGGCUCCGGAGGAAGCCACGGCUAACUCUGUGCCAGUAGCCGCGGUAAUACAGAGGCGGCAAGCGUUGUUCGGAAUUAUUGGGCGUAAAGAGCACGUAGGCGGCUGUGUAAGUCGGUUGUGAAAGCCUUCCGCUCAACGGAAGAACGGCAUCCGAUACUGCAUGGCUUGAGUGUGGGAGGGGAGAGUGGAACUUCUGGUGGAGCGGUGAAAUGCGUAGAUAUCAGAAGGAACACCGGCGGCGAAGGCGACUCUCUGGUCCAUAACUGACGCUGAGUGUGCGAAAGCUAGGGGAGCAAACGGGAUUAGAUACCCCGGUAGUCCUAGCCGUAAACGAUGGGCACUAAGUAGAGGGGUUUU
rnacentral:rRNA from 1 species